rnacentral:rRNA from 1 species
GCAAGUAUCCGCGUUCCAGUGAGUACGCCCCGGGUUCCCUAACCAGGUCGACGGGAGCAGGCAUCAGGCACACCCCACUAUUCUAACCGUAGCCCAAGACGUCCAGCAAUUGCCACACCCCCACGGGUCCUCAGCAGUAGUUAAUAUUAAGCUAUGAGUGAAAACUUGACUUAGUUAUAGCAAUUUAGGGCCGGUAAAUCCUGUGCCAGCCACCGCGGUCAUACAGGAGGCCCAAAUCAACAUUACCGACGGCGUAAAGUGUGGUCACAUGUUAUCCAAGUAACUAAGAUUAAAAAGCAACUAAGUUGUCACAAGCCCAAGAUGCUCACAAGGCCACUAUUCAAAGAAAAUCUUAGACUAACGAUUAAUUGAAUCCACGAAAGCCAGGGCCCAAACUGGGAUUAGAUACCCCACUAUGCCUGGCCGUAAAUCUUGAUGCUCGAUCUUACCGGAGCAUCCGCCUGAGAACUACGAGCACCAACGCUUAAAACUCUAAGGACUUGGCGGUGUCCCAAACCCACCUAGAGGAGCCUGUUCUAUAAUCGAUGAUCCACGAUAUACCUGACCAUUCCUUGCCAGAACAGCCUAUAUACCGCCGUCUCCAGCCCACCCAACCUGAAGGACCAACAGUGGACGCAAUAGCCUCACCCGCUAAUAAGACAGGUCAAGGUAUAGCCUAUGGAAUGGAAGUAAUGGGCUACAUUUUCUAGACUAGAACAUCACGGCAAAGGGACGUGAAACCGUCCCUAGAAGGCGGAUUUAGCAGUAAAGUGGGACAAUCGAGCCCUCUUUAAGCCGGCCCUGGGGCAUGUACAUACCGCCCGUCGCCCUCCUCAAAAGCGC